rnacentral:rRNA from 1 species
UUGGUUCGGAACAACACAGGGAAACUUGUGCUAAUACCGGAUAAGCCCUUACGGGGAAAGAUUUAUCGCCGAAAGAUCGGCCCGCGUCUGAUUAGCUAGUUGGUGAGGUAAUGGCUCACCAAGGCGACGAUCAGUAGCUGGUCUGAGAGGAUGAUCAGCCACAUUGGGACUGAGACACGGCCCAAACUCCUACGGGAGGCAGCAGUGGGGAAUAUUGGACAAUGGGCGCAAGCCUGAUCCAGCCAUGCCGCGUGAGUGAUGAAGGCCCUAGGGUUGUAAAGCUCUUUUGUGCGGGAAGAUAAUGACGGUACCGCAAGAAUAAGCCCCGGCUAACUUCGUGCCAGCAGCCGCGGUAAUACGAAGGGGGCUAGCGUUGCUCGGAAUCACUGGGCGUAAAGGGUGCGUAGGCGGGUCUUUAAGUCAGGGGUGAAAUCCUGGAGCUCAACUCCAGAACUGCCUUUGAUACUGAAGAUCUUGAGUUCGGGAGAGGUGAGUGGAACUGCGAGUGUAGAGGUGAAAUUCGUAGAUAUUCGCAAGAACACCAGUGGCGAAGGCGGCUCACUGGCCCGAUACUGACGCUGAGCAC